rnacentral:misc_RNA from 1 species
UCUCAAGACCUAGGAACCAGGAAUUAUAUUGUUUUUUUUUUUCCUCAUUCACCAAUUAUCUUCUUUGUUUUUAUUAUAUCUUAUUUUAAUUAAAUGUCUGUCUAGUUAAGCAUGUGUGAGCUGACUUUUGCAUUCACCACUAAUUUGGAGUGUUUAGUAUGGAGCUUAGAGUAGCUUUUCAAAGGUAGCAAUCAAUGGUUCAAAGUUGUAAUUAUAAUGAUUAAAGUAAGGAUCUUCAGUUUCAAUAUCACCUUAUGGCCCUUUAAGGCUUCAACCACUAACCAUCAACUGCUAACCAUGUAGGCGCUAAGUCAACCAUUUCACUCAAACUUCCCCUAAACACUUCUAAGAUUCUCCUGAAAUAUUAUUUUCCCUCCAUACCUCUCCCUACUCUUAUCAUCUUCAUCGACCAUAAUUCCGCAUGUAUAAUUACUAAAUAUUAUUACAACAAUAACUACAAAUAAGUACAAUAGGA